UACGGGGGGAGCAAGCGUUGUUCGGAUUUACUGGGCGUAAAGGGCGCGUAGGCGGCCACCGCAAGUCGGUUGUGAAAUCUCCGGGCUUAACCCGGAAAGGUCAAUCGAUACUGCGGGGCUAGAGUGCAGAAGGGGCAACUGGAAUUCUCGGUGUAGCGGUGAAAUGCGUAGAUAUCGAGAGGAACACCUGCGGCGAAGGCGGGUUGCUGGGCCGACACUGACGCUGAUGCGCGAAAGCCAGGGGAGCGAACGGG
rnacentral:rRNA from 1 species